UACGUAGGCGGCAAGCGUUGUUCGGAAUUAUUGGGCGUAAAGCGCGCGCAGGCGGCCUCUUAAGUUUGAUGUGAAAGCUCCCGGCUCAACCGGGGAGGGCCAUUGGAAACUGGGAGGCUUGAGCAUAGGAGAGAAGAGCGGAAUUCCACGUGUAGCGGUGAAAUGCGUAGAGAUGUGGAGGAACACCAGUGGCGAAGGCGACUCUCUGGCCUAUAACUGACGCUGAGGCGCGAGAGCGUGGGGAGCAAACAGG
rnacentral:misc_RNA from 1 species